CAAUAGCAUAUAUUAUUGCUGUUGCAGUUAAAAAGCUCGUAGUUGGAAAUCGGGUCUCUGGCGGUGGUUUCAGGCGCCCGCCUGCUUACUGCCCGUCCAGGCCUUUCUGGCGGGAGGCUGUGGGUGCUCUUAACUGAGUCGCCCACUGCACCCGCUCCGUUUACUUUGAAAAAAUUAGAGUGUUCAAAGCAGGCUAGCACGCUUGUAUACAUUGCAUGGAAUAAUAGAACAGGACCUCGGUUCUUUCUGUUGGUCUCGGAAGCGAGGUAAUGAUUAAGAGGGACUGACGGGGGCAUUCGUACUGCAGGGGGAGAGGUGAAAUUCUGGGAUCCCUGCAAGACGACCGACUGCGAAAGCAUUUGCCAAGGAUGUUUUCAUUAAUCAAGAACGAAAGUCAGAGGUU
rnacentral:rRNA from 1 species